rnacentral:rRNA from 1 species
UACGAAGGGAGCUAGCGUUGUUCGGAAUCACUGGGCGUAAAGCGCACGUAGGCGGAUGUGUCAGUCAGGGGUGAAAUCCCGGAGCUCAACUUCGGAACUGCCCUUGAUACAGCACGUCUUGAGUCCGGAAGAGGUGGGUGGAAUUCCUAGUGUAGAGGUGAAAUUCGUAGAUAUUAGGAAGAACACCGGCGGCGAAGGCGGCCCACUGGUCCGGUACUGACGCUGAGGUGCGAAAGCGUGGGGAGCAAACAGG